GGCAGAUGAUGUUUUUUUUCUCACGAUGGUCUUCGGAUGCCACCGAUUGGCAGUGCCGAUAAUGCCACAGGCUCAGCUGAUGCCAGUAG
ensembl:snoRNA small nucleolar RNA SNORD35